rnacentral:lncRNA from 1 species
ACUAAGGACACAUGAGGACAAAAUUUUCACUGUUUAUGUGUGUUGGGAACUACUGUGACCUGUAGUUCAUUAAAAUUUUGGGCUGCCAGGUGUUUUUGUACAAUACAUAUGCCAGUGAGUUUUUUUAAUCAUGUUUUAUUUUUCUUAUAUUUAGACCAAUGAGUAAAGAUGAUAUUUGCAAGUAGUAGUGUGAUCCAUUCAAGAUCUAUGAAUGAUUUAAAUUGAUUAUGUGUAUGUAUGCAUGUAUGUGAGAGAAUAUAGAAUGUGACCUCCACAAAGCACAUGUUUUUUAACCAGGUGAACAAAAACAAAGUGUAUUUUGUUCUUUUUUAUAUUUCCAGAUUGAUCCUUUAUUUUUUAUUCUGCUUGAAAAUUUUUCUUCUAUCAUAUUUACAGUAAAAUUACAAGUCCAUUAAUUUCAUCCAUAAGUGUUUAAUUCUCCAUAACUCUAUGAAGGAUAUCAGAAUCUCAUGUUUCCCAGGCACCUGUGUGCAUAGAAACAUUAACAUUUUAAUAUAUUCAUUUAUUUUGCAUGUAAGUUUUAGUCAGGUUAUGAAGAUUUUUGUAAGUCUUUGAAAAUUUAGUGUAUACUAUUUGAUCAUUACUGCAAUUUGAUAUUUAAUCAAAAUAAUAAGAAUUAUGUCAGACAGUUUUUAGACAUUUGAUUACUGUUGUUUGAUGUUUGAUGUAGCAUCUAACAAUACAAAAUAUAGGGAUAUAACUAUAUAAUUGCAAAACUCAUAAAUAAAAUCUCUGGUUAUUUUUAUGAGUGGGAUUAGCAAAAUUAGAAAUCAUAGACACCUGUAUAAAUUAUUAAGUGCCACAAAUAGUGAUACAUAUUGCACCAUUAUCUUUAAUCCAUAUGCUUAGUAGUCAAAAACAGAAUCCUAAAUUUCUAAUUAUAUUUCUGUAUGACAUCCAUCUACGUAAUUUAAGGGACUUUGAUUUUGUAGGAAAGAUAAUAUAUUCUGGAGCUGAUCUUUCCUGAAGGCUUUAAUUAUGUGGCAGGGCUAAUUUUAGGUAUCAAUGGGGCUCUCACAAAUGCUGCUGUCAGGUGAGGUAUAACACGUGCUCAUUCAGGUAGAUUUCUGCCAUAGCUAAGUAUUUAUUAACUGAAAAAGUUUAACUCUAUGUAGCAUGAGAACAGAUACAUUUGUCAAUAGCAUCUAAUGAACCAGAUAGUUUGAGAUAUACUGUGUUCCUUUAAUUAGUUGCUAGUACGGUUGAAAAAUGCCCCUUUAAUAGGCUAAUAAAAUAGUAGGUUUACCAUUUAAAGCAAUUUCUUUCUUUUCCCCUUGGGGAAGAAUGGGUGCUAAAACAUAUCAAGUUUAAACUACUCUGACACAAGGAAG